UACGUAGGGCGCAAGCGUUAUCCGGAAUUAUUGGGCGUAAAGAGCUCGUAGGCGGUCUGUUGCGUCUGCUGUGAAAACCCGGGGCUUAACCCCUGGCUUGCAGUGGAUACGGACAGACUAGAGGUAGGUAGGGGAGAAUGGAAUUCCCGGUGUAGCGGUGAAAUGCGCAGAUAUCGGGAGGAACACCGGUGGCGAAGGCGGUUCUCUGGGCCUUACCUGACGCUGAGGAGCGAAAGCGUGGGGAGCGAACAGG
rnacentral:rRNA from 1 species